rnacentral:rRNA from 2 species
AGACCUCUAAUCGGAAAGACUACCCGCUGAGUUUAA